GACGAACGCUGGCGGCGUGCUUAACACAUGCAAGUCGAACGAUGAAGCUGGAGCUUGCUCCGGUGGAUUAGUGGCGAACGGGUGAGUAACACGUGAGCAAUCUGCCCUUGACUCUGGGAUAACUGCGGGAAACUGUAGCUAAUACCGGAUACUUUCACUGGAAGGCAUCUUCUGGUGAAGAAAGAAUCUCGGUCAAGGAUGAGCUCGCGGCCUAUCAGCUUGUUGGUGAGGUAGCGGCUCACCAAGGCGACGACGGGUAGCCGGCCUGAGAGGGUGACCGGCCACACUGGGACUGAGAUACGGCCCAGACUCCUACGGGAGGCAGCAGUGGGGAAUAUUGCACAAUGGGCGCAAGCCUGAUGCAGCGACGCCGCGUGAGGGAUGACGGCCUUCGGGUUGUAAACCUCUUUCAGUAGGGACGAAGCGCAAGUGACGGUACCUACAGAAGAAGGACCGGCCAACUACGUGCCAGCAGCCGCCGUAA
rnacentral:rRNA from 1 species